UGCCAGACUCCUACGGGAGGCAGCAGUGAGGAAUAUUGGUCAAUGGGCUUACGCCUGAACCAGCCAAGUCGCGUGAGGGAAGACUGCCCUAUGGGUUGUAAACCUCUUUUGUCAGGGAGCAAUUGGCGCUACGUGUAGCGUUAUCGAGAGUACCUGAAGAAAAAGCAUCGGCUAACUCCGUGCCAGCAGCCGCGGUAAUACGGAGGAUGCGAGCGUUAUCCGGAUUUAUUGGGUUUAAAGGGUGCGUAGGCGGGCUUUUAAGUCAGCGGUAAAAAUUCGGGGCUCAACCCCGUCCGGCCGUUGAAACUGGGGGCCUUGAGUGGGCGAGAAGAAGGCGGAAUGCGUGGUGUAGCGGUGAAAUGCAUAGAUAUCACGCAGAACCCCGAUUGCGAAGGCAGCCUUCCGGCGCCCUACUGACGCUGAGGCACGAAAGCGUGGGUAUCGAACAGGAUUAGAUACCCUCGUAC
rnacentral:rRNA from 1 species